rnacentral:rRNA from 1 species
AACGCUAGCUACAGGCUUAACACAUGCAAGUCGCGGGGCAGCAUGAAUUUAGCUUGCUAAAUUUGAUGGCGACCGGCGCACGGGUGAGUAACACGUAUGCAACCUGGCCGUGACAGAUGGAUAACCGGGAGAAAUUCCGCCUAAUACAGCAUAACACCACUGGAUGACAUCCUCCGGUGGUCAAAGGAGGCGACUCCGGUCACGGAUGGGCAUGCGGCGCAUUAGGUAGUUGGUGAGGCAACGGCUCACCAAGCCGACGAUGCGUAGGGGUUCUGAGAGGAAGGUCCCCCAUAUUGGAACUGAGACACGGUCCAAACUCCUACGGGAGGCAGCAGUGAGGAAUAUUGGUCAAUGGGCGAGAGCCUGAACCAGCCAAGUAGCGUGCAGGACGACGGCCCUACGGGUUGUAAACUGCUUUUAUGAAGGAAUAAAGUCACCCACGUGUGGGUGUUUGCAUGUACUUUAUGAAUAAGGACCGGCUAAUUCCGUGCCAGCAGCCGCGGUAAUACGGAAGGUCCGGGCGUUAUCCGGAUUUAUUGGGUUUAAAGGGAGCGUAGGCCGCCUGGUAAGCGUGUUGUGAAAUGUCGUUGCUCAACAACGUCACUGCAGCGCGAACUGCCGGGCUUGAGUGUGCGGAAAGCGGGCGGAAUUUGUGGUGUAGCGGUGAAAUGCUUAGAUAUCACGAAGAACUCCGAUUG